rnacentral:rRNA from 1 species
AACGAACGCUGGCGGCGCGUUUAAGCAUGCAAGUCGAACGGUAGUAUUGGUGCUUGCACCGAUAUGAGAGUGGCGAACGGGUGAGUAACACGUAGGUAAUCUACCUUGGGAUCUGGGAUAGCCCAUGGAAACAUGGGGUAAUACCGGAUAAUACCUAUCCUCUCGGAGGAUAGGGGAAAGGCGCUUCGGCGCCGUCCUUGGAGGAGCCUGCGGCUCAUUAGUUAGUUGGUGGGGUAAAGGCCUACCAAGGCGACGAUGAGUAGCCGGCCUGAGAGGGUGACCGGCCACACUGGGACUGAGACACGGCCCAGACUCCUACGGGAGGCAGCAGCUAAGAAUCUUCCGCAAUGGGGGAAACCCUGACGGAGCGACGCCGCGUGAACGAAGAAGGCCGGAAGGUUGUAAAGUUCUUUUCUUAGUGAAGAAUAACGGCAGGAGGGAAUGCCUGUCAGAUGACGUUAGCUAAGGAAUAAGCCCCAGCUAAUUACGUGCCAGCAGCCGCGGUAACACGUAAGGGGCGAGCGUUGUUCGGAAUUAUUGGGCGUAAAGGGCGCGUAGGCGGCUUUGCAAGCCUGGUGUGAAAGGUCACAGCUUAACUGUGGGACUGCGCUGGGAACUGCAUGGCUAGAGUUCAAGAGGGGAAACUGGAAUUCCUGGUGUAGGGGUGAAAUCUGUAGAUAUCAGGAAGAACACCUGUGGCGAAGGCGAGUUUCUGGCUAUGAACUGACGCUGAGGCGCGAAAGCGUGGGGAGCGAACCAGGAUUAGAUACCCUGGUAGUCCACGCUGUAAACGAUGUGCACUAGGUGUCUGAGGUUAUGAUCUUGGGGUGCCGUAGCAAACGCGUUAAGUGCACCGNCUGGGGAGUAUGCUCGCAAGGGUGAAACUCAAAGGAAUUGACGGGGGCCCGCAC